UACGAAGGGUGCAAGCGUUACUCGGAAUUACUGGGCGUAAAGCGUGCGUAGGUGGUUUGUUAAGUCUGUUGUGAAAGCCCCGGGCUCAACCUGGGAAUGGCAAUGGAUACUGGCAGGCUAGAGUGCGGUAGAGGGUAGUGGAAUUCCCGGUGUAGCGGUGAAAUGCGUAGAGAUCGGGAGGAACACCAGUGGCGAAGGCGGCUACCUGAACCAGCACUGACACUGAGGCACGAAAGCGUGGGGAGCAAACAGG
rnacentral:rRNA from 1 species